rnacentral:rRNA from 1 species
AACAUUGAACAUCGACAUCUUGAACGCACAUUGCGGCUCCGGGUCACUCCCGGAGCCACGCCUGUCUGAGGGUCGG